rnacentral:rRNA from 1 species
UACAGAGGAUGCAAGCGUUAUCCGGAAUGAUUGGGCGUAAAGAGCUUGUAGGCGGUUUGUCGCGUCUGCCGUGAAAAUUCGAGGCUCAACCUCGAACUUGCGGUGGGUACGGGCAGACUAGAGUGUGGUAGGGGAGACUGGAAUUCCUGGUGUAGCGGUGAAAUGCGCAGAUAUCAGGAGGAACACCGAUGGCGAAGGCAGGUCUCUGGGCCACUACUGACGCUGAGACGCGAAAGCGUGGGGAGCAAACAGG